rnacentral:rRNA from 1 species
UAACGCGAAGAACCUUACCUGGGUUUGACAUACGCCGGAAACAUCCAGAGAUGGGUGCCCUUUUUGUCGGUGUACAGGUGGUGCAUGGCUGUCGUCAGCUCGUGUCGUGAGAUGUUGGGUUAAGUCCCGCAACGAGCGCAACCCUUGUCGCAUGUUGCCAGCACGCCCUUCGGGGUGGUGGGGACUCAUGCGAGACUGCCGGGGUCAACUCGGAGGAAGGUGGGGAUGACGUCAAGUCAUCAUGCCCCUUAUGUCCAGGGCUUCACGCAUGCUACAAUGGCCGGUACAGAGGGCUGCGAUCCCGUGAGGGGGAGCGAAUCCCUAAAAGCCGGUCUCAGUUCGGAUUGGGGUCUGCAACUCGACCCCAUGAAGUCGGAGUCGCUAGUAAUCGCAGAUCAGCAACGCUGCGGUGAAUACGUUCCCGGGUCUUGUACACACCGA